UACGUAGGGAGCAAGCGUUGUCCGGAAUCAUUGGGCGUAAAGCGCGCGUAGGCGGCCUCAUAAGUCCGCUGUGAAAGUCAAAGGCUCAACCUUUGAAAGCCGAUGGAUACUGUGAGGCUAGAGUCCGGAAGAGGCGAGUGGAAUUCCUGGUGUAGCGGUGAAAUGCGCAGAUAUCAGGAGGAACACCGAUAGCGAAGGCAGCUCGCUGGGACGGUACUGACGCUGAGACGCGAAAGCGUGGGGAGCAAACAGG
rnacentral:rRNA from 1 species